CGGGAAGUAGUUUAAAAAGAGAAUUUUGGCUUUGGGUGCCAUAGGUGAGGAUGAAAAAUUUUCCUCCUUCUUGA
rnacentral:tRNA from 1 species